UGAAAGCAUCUAAGCGGGAAGCGAGCCCUGAGAUGAGUCAUCCCUGACCCCUUGAGGGUCCUAAAGGGCCGUUGGAGACCACAACGUUGAUAGGUGGGGUGUGUAAGUGCAGCGAUGCAUUGAGCUAACCCAUACUAAUUACCCGUGAGGCUUAACCAU
rnacentral:rRNA from 1 species